AAAAAAAUUAAAAAAAAAAUUAUUAUUAAGUAGCUAAUAAAUCAGUUAUAUGUAUUGCUAGAAAUUCCCAAAACAUUCAUUUGUCAUUGAAAACGUUGACAACCAAAUCAACAAGCUGGUGUCGUAUAUAUCACUAGCCACUAGGCAAAACGUUCAUGUUAUAACUUCAACAGUAACACAGUCCUUAAUUUAAUAUAUUAAAUACAUUUUAUUUACUGCCGUUGAUCGAAGGAACAUGGACUUUUGCCUCGUGC